UGGCAACUUGUUGGGGANUAACCUACCGC
rnacentral:piRNA from 1 species